ACCCGUGCCAGCGGGCAAAGAAUUAUACAACCUACAGCCUGGAGAUUUUGUAUUUCUUAAAAAUUUCAGGAAGAAGAACUGAUGACCACAGUGAAGAUUGUGGAUUUUCUGAAAUCCACCGGGGUCCUCAACAGCCAUUGGUGAGAAGUUCACUGGAAAUCGAUUCGCCCAGAAUCCUACCAAGGGGAUUCCAACAAAGUAUCCCUGAAAAAAUAGGGAUACCACCGACGGCCCACUCAGUAGGUGGUCUACCUAGCUGAGGCAGCAUGGAGAACAUGGUCAGGAUGGGACAUUGCCGCAGAACAACACCUACAUGGAUUAAGGAUGCCGUACUUCAUAACCCAUAACUCUCCUGAUGUUGAGAUUGAGGAUGUUUUUUAUUUCCAAUAGACUCAUUUCCUAAUAAUAAUCCAGCAGAUGAAGUUUGGAGCCAGUCUGCAGUGACUCUUCCUUCUGCUCUUACUGCUGCAGGUUCCUUUGUUGUCAUAUUUUCAGAUAUUCUGGGAUUUAUCUGCAGAAGACGUCCACAACGCGCCUGUCUAAGAGCUGAAACAUCCGGAUCGUCUGCACAAGGAGAAACUGCCACUGUAACAUCAAGGACAUUGAGCCGGAGACGAUUCAAACCACAACCAGGAGGCCGAAGUUUGCACAGGAAUCGAGGAGGAAGAUUUGAUGGCAACCAGGGAAGCUUCUCCAGGGGGUCAAGGCUUUCCUUUCAGAGGUGGAUUUACAGGACAUCAUGGAGGGUAUUCCUCCUGACUACACCAGGUUCUGUUGCAAUGCAAAUUUGACUGACUGUUAAUUCUGAUGUCGUCCAUUGUUUGUCUGUUUCAUGUUGGAGUGAAUGAUUGUUUACGUGUAAUGUUUGUCUCAGUGUUCUGUGUUUUCAUGCGCAUGCGAAGAAGAUAAAAACACAAUCUUAUUUGCAGGAUUUCCCAAACAUCGGAAUGGGACCACCGAUGAAACCUGGAAUUAUUUCAACAACAUGUAAUGACAACAUGAUUAACUUCUGUAUUUCUCUUACAGAUCAAUUAAAGACUGCAGGCCCAAGGAGGACGAUCCGUGCCAGCGGGCAAACAAUUAUAUAACCUACAGCCUGGAGAUUUUGUGUUUCUUAAAAAUUUCAGGAAGAAGAACUGAUGACCACAGUGAAGGUUGUGGAUUUUCUUAAAUCCA